GACAGAGGAUGCAAGCGUUAUCCGGAAUGAUUGGGCGUAAAGCGUCUGUAGGUGGCUUUUAAGUCCGCCGUCAAAUCCCAGGGCUCAACCCUGGACAGGCGGUGGAAACUACCAAGCUGGAGUACGGUAGGGGCAGGAGGGAAUUUCCGGGUGGAGCGGUGAAAUGCGUAGAGAUCGGAAAGAACACCAACGGCGAAAAGCACUCUGCUGGGCCGACACUGACACUGAGAGACGAAAGCUAGGGGAGCGAAUGGG
rnacentral:rRNA from 1 species